rnacentral:hammerhead_ribozyme from 1 species
ACCCAGAUGACGAGUCCCAAAUAGGACGAAAUUUGCACCCUGGAU